rnacentral:rRNA from 1 species
AGAGUUUGAUCCUGGCUCAGAACGAACGCUGGCGGCAGGCUUAACACAUGCAAGUCGAGCGGGCGCCUUUCGGGGCGUCAGCGGCGGACGGGUUAGUAACGCGUGGGAACGUGCCUCUUGCUACGGAAUGGCCCAGGGAAACUUGGAGUAAUGCCGUAUACGCCCUUCGGGGGAAAGAUUUAUCGGCGAGAGAUCGGCCCGCGUCCGAUUAGGUAGUUGGUGGGGUAACGGCCCACCAAGCCGACGAUCGGUAGCUGGUUUGAGAGGAUGAUCAGCAACACUGGGACUGAGACACGGCCCAGACUCCUACGGGAGGCAGCAGUGGGGAAUCUUGGACAAUGGGGGCAACCCUGAUCCAGCCAUGCCGCGUGGACGAUGAAGGCCUUAGGGUUGUAAAGUCCUUUCGCCGGGGAAGAUAAUGACGGUACCCGGUAAAGAAGCCCCGGCUAACUCCGUGCCAGCAGCCGCGGUAAUACGGAGGGGGCUAGCGUUGUUCGGAAUUACUGGGCGUAAAGCGCGCGUAGGCGGACCGUUAAGUCGGGGGUGAAAUCCCGGGGCUCAACCCCGGAACGGCCUUCGAUACUGGCGGUCUGGAGGUCGAGAGAGGUGGGUGGAAUUCCGAGUGUAGAGGUGAAAUUCGUAGAUAUUCGGAGGAACACCGGUGGCGAAGGCGGCCCACUGGCUCGAUACUGACGCUGAGGCGCGAAAGCGUGGGGAGCAAACAGGAUUAGAUACCCUAGUAGUCC